AUUGAACGCUGGCGGCAUGCUUUACACAUGCAAGUCGAACGGUAACAGGUUAAGCUGACGAGUGGCGAACGGGUGAGUAAUGCAUCGGAACGUGCCCGAUCGUGGGGGAUAACGCGGCGAAAGCUGCGCUAAUACCGCAUACGAUCUGAGGAUGAAAGCGGGGGACCGUAAGGCCUCGCGCGAUCGGAGCGGCCGAUGUCAGAUUAGGUAGUUGGUGGGGUAAAGGCCCACCAAGCCGACGAUCUGUAGCUGGUCUGCGAGGACGACCAGCCACACUGGGACUGAGACACGGCCCAGACUCCUACGGGAGGCAGCAGUGGGGAAUUUUGGACAAUGGGCGAAAGCCUGAUCCAGCAAUGCCGCGUGCAGGAAGAAGGCCUUCGGGUUGUAAACUGCUUUUGUACGGAGCGAAAAGGUCCUUUCUAAUACAGGGGGCUCAUGACGGUACCGUAAGAAUAAGCACCGGCUAACUACGUGCCAGCAGCCGCGGUAA
rnacentral:rRNA from 1 species